CGGGGUGUAGCGCAGUUGGUAGCGCGCUUGCUUUGGGAGCAAGAUGCCGCAGGUUCGAAUCCUGUCACUCCGACCA
rnacentral:tRNA from 2 species